GACGAACGCUGGCGGCGUGCCUAAUACAUGCAAGUUGAGCGAUGAAGAUUGGUGCUUGCACCAAUUUGAAGAGCAGCGAACGGGUGAGUAACGCGUGGGGAAUCUGCCUUUGAGCGGGGGACAACAUUUGGAAACGAAUGCUAAUACCGCAUAACAACUUUAAACAUAAGUUUUAAGUUUGAAAGAUGCAAUUGCAUCACUCAAAGAUGAUCCCGCGUUGUAUUAGCUAGUUGGUGAGGUAAAGGCUCACCAAGGCGAUGUUACAUAGCCGACCUGAGAGGGUGAUCGGCCACAUUGGGACUGAGACACGGCCCAAACUCCUACGGGAGGCAGCAGUAGGGAAUCUUCGGCAAUGGACGAAAGUCUGACCGAGCAACGCCGCGUGAGUGAAGAAGGUUUUCGGAUCGUAAAACUCUGUUGGUAGAGAAGAACGUUGGUGAGAGUGGAAAGCUCAUCAAGUGACGGUAACUACCCAGAAAGGGACGGCUAACUACGUG
rnacentral:rRNA from 1 species